UCUGCCUGUGGAGGUGGAAUUUCAGAAGUUUCCAGCUUCACUGGAUGUAUGAAGAGCUAUAUAAGAAGGAAAUACUUAUGAUUCUAGGCUCUAUCUGCUCUUGUGCUUUGCAACUGCAGGGAGAGGAAAAAAUGCUGCAAACUGCUGGAACACUCUAAGAAGAAGUGGGUUUUCCUGUAUUGGAGGCACUCUCACAAUCAAACGGCGAGGACAUGGACACAGAAAUUAACCAACAGCUAUGAGGUACCAGUGAGCUGCAUUUGAGUCCAGGGUUUCCUCAUAGAACUGAGAAGAGCAC